GUCCUUCGGGUCUGUGGUUGAAAGCCGAUGCCAGUCGCAGGCAAAGCGGUCCACGUAAUCCGCCCAAAGCGGCGGGGAGCAUGGUGCGGUCUAGAUGUAAGUCCGUCCGGGGCAUGACCCCGAGAGGCGGGAGUGAGGGCGCGGACAGCGCAGAGCAAACGUCCGGACGGCGAGUGUGGGGUCAAAAACCAGGUCAGCCGGGGGAA
rnacentral:ncRNA from 12 species